UCCCACAGCCCAGGAAGAGCUGGUGGGGUCCUCUGAAUGGCGCCUAAACAAUAUUUAGUAUUCAUUUGUUUUGUUUUGAGACAGCAUGAAGCCCAGGCUCAUCUCACACUCACCAAUGGAUGACUUUAAAUUCUUGAUCCUCUUGCCUCUACCUCCCAAGUCACAGAUCUACACUGGAGUCAGCAAAGGUGCUUUCUACCGAACCUGACCGCCGAGUUUGAUCCCCGGGCCCCACGUGGUGGAAGGAGAGGGUAGACCCCCACAAGUCUCCUCUGACUUCCACAUGCCCCUCCCUCGAACAAACACAUUUAAUUUGGAAAAUUAAAAAGCAACAAUGAAA